UUUUUUUCAAAACAUGUUCUAAUGUUUUAUCUUUAUUAGAUUUAACCUGCUCAAUGAUUUAUUUAAUUAAAUAGCCGCAGUAUUUUGACUGUGCGAAGGUAGCAUAAUCAUUUGUCUUUUAAUUGAAGGCUUGUAUGAAUGGUUGGAUGAGGAAAUAACUUUCUUUAUAUUAUUAAAUUGAAUUUAAUUUUUUAGUUAAAAAGCUUAAAUUUUUAAAUGGGACGAGAAGACCCUAUAGAAUUUUAUUUUUAAUAAAUAUUUAAUUUUUUUGUUAAUUAUUUUUUUUUAUUUAUUAAGAAUUUUGUUGGGGUGACCGUGAGAUUUUUUUAACUCUCACAAUUUAUUAAUUAUUAAUGAUUAUAUUAAAGAUCCUAUAUUAUGGAAAAUUAGAUUAAAUUACCUUAGGGAUAACAGCGUAAUUUUCUUGGAGAGUUCUUAUCGAUGAGGAAGUUUGCGACCUCGAUGUUGGAUUAAAAAUAGAAUUAAGUGCAGUAGCUUAAAUGUCUAGGUCUGUUCGACCUUUAAAUUUUUACAUGAUCUGGUUUCAACCGGGA
rnacentral:rRNA from 1 species